CAGGAUAGAGCAUGAAUUAUGCAUUUCACUUACAAUGAAAAUAUAGAUAUUAUCUUACCCUGA
rnacentral:tRNA from 1 species